AUCGCUUCUCGGCCUUUUGGCUAAGAUCAAAGUGUAGUAUCUGUUCUUAUCAGCUUAAUAUCUGAUACGUCCUCCCAUUGGGGGACUCGAUAUUAAACUGAUUUUUGAAAGGGGGUGAGGUGCCCGGGGCUUGCUCCGCCCUCACCACGGGUUGACCCGGUAUUGCAGUACUUCCGGGAAUGGCCCACCACUA
rnacentral:snRNA from 1 species